rfam:Camelus ferus unplaced genomic scaffold scaffold418, whole genome shotgun sequence.
GGGAAGGUCCAGCUCAGUGGUAGAACAUGUGCUUAGCAUGCACAAGGUCCUGGGUUCACUCCCCAGCCCCUCCA